AAGAUGAUUGUGGUGGUUCUCCUCCUUGCCACCUUUCUUGUGGUGGCAAGAUCGUUGUGGGUUCCAGAAGAACCCUCAAAUGCGGAUGACAUAAGAGGUGCUUGCAUCGAGGAGUGCACCAAAGAAAAUAAGGCUCCUGGCGACAAGAAGACAUGCGAAGUGUUGUGCACCAAGCUCACAAAAAAGCCUAGCGAAGAAGGCAAACAUGAUUGAUGAAGUAGCACUCCGAUAAUAUAUACCCUAGUGGAUCAGUGGUCAUCUUUGUAGCCAUGUCUGCCACACGAUGGCCUUGACUAUAUUGUCUUAUUGUUUUGUUUUUGGUUUCCACUAGUAUCCUAAUUCCUUGUUCAUAUAACCUAAUUUCACUCAAAGCAUUUUAUAUGCUUCACUUAAUUAAAUAAAUACAAAGGCAAUGGCAUGUUCUGUUUUGAUCUAAUUGGAAUAUCAUAGGGCAAACCGAUCUAUAAAAAGAAUGGUAAUGAAUCUUAUAUAUAGAUAUGUUCAAUGUGCAAGUAUGAUCAAAUACUGAAAAAGUUGAUACGAAUAAUAGUUGUUGUUGAGCCUCUCACAACAUUUUGAGUAAAUCUCUUGAAAAGCAAAACGUGAACGAUAUGGUAGAACCCCACCAUUAUAUAUCAUGGUGCAUCAAUGGUCUUUAUGUAGCCAUGUCUAUCACAAAAUGGCCUUGAUUAAAUUAUCUUAUUGUUUGUGUUUUGGUUCCACAAGUAUCCUAACUUCUUAUUCAUGUACCCUAAUGUCACUC
rnacentral:lncRNA from 7 species